ACGCUCGACACCUACGGGAUGCAGCAGUUGGGAAUAUUGGACAAUGGAGGAAACUCUGAUCCAGUGACGCCGCGUGAAGGAAGAAGGUCUUCGGAUUGUAAACUUAUUUUGUCAGGGAAGAAAAAUGACUGUACCUGAAGAAAAAGCACCGGCUAACUACGUGCCAGCAGCCGGGUAAUCUGAGCGGGCUGGCAAGGC
rnacentral:rRNA from 1 species